rnacentral:rRNA from 1 species
UACGGAGGGUGCAAGCGUUAUCCGGAUUCACUGGGUUUAAAGGGUGCGUAGGCGGGCAGGUAAGUCAGUGGUGAAAUCCCCGAGCUUAACUCGGGAACUGCCAUUGAUACUAUCUGUCUUGAAUAUUGUGGAGGUAAGCGGAAUAUGUCAUGUAGCGGUGAAAUGCUUAGAUAUGACAUAGAACACCUAUUGCGAAGGCAGCUUACUACGCAUAUAUUGACGCUGAGGCACCAAAGCGUGGGGAUCAAACAGG